rnacentral:rRNA from 1 species
AUUGAACGCUGGCGGCAGGCUUAACACAUGCAAGUCGAGCGGGGUGAUGGUGCUUGCACUAUCACUUAGCGGCGGACGGGUGAGUAAUGCUUAGGAAUCUGCCUAUUAGUGGGGGACAACAUCUCGAAAGGGAUGCUAAUACCGCAUACGUCCUACGGGAGAAAGCAGGGGAUCACUUGUGACCUUGCGCUAAUAGAUGAGCCCAAGUCGGAUUAGCUAGUUGGUGGGGUAAAGGCCUACCAAGACGACGAUCUGUAGCGGGUCUGAGAGGAUGAUCCGCAACAUUGGGACUGGGGCACGGCCCAGACUCCUACGGGAGGCAGCAGUGGGGAAUAUUGGACAAUGGGGGGAACCCUGAUCCAGCCAUGCCGCGUGUGUGAAGAAGGCCUUAUGGUUGUAAAGCACUUUAAGCGAGGAGGAGGCUACUUUAGUCAAUACCUAGAGAUAGUGGACGUUACUCGCAGAAUAAGCACCGGCUAACUCUGUGCCAGCAGCCGCCGUAA